GAGCACCCCUCUCUCCGCCCACUCGGCCACCACGUGACAGCCGAGCGGGGGCCUCGGGGCAGCUU
rnacentral:pre_miRNA from 1 species